rnacentral:rRNA from 1 species
UACGUAGGGACCGAGCGUUGUCCGGAAUCAUUGGGCGUAAAGCGCGUGUAGGCGGCUUGGUAGGUUUCGUGUUAAAUCCCUCGGCUCAACCGAGGAAUCGCACGGAAACCACCUCGCUAGAGUCCGGAAGAGGGAAACGGAAUUCCAGGUGUAGCGGUGAAAUGCGCAGAUAUCUGGAAGAACACCCGUGGCGAAGGCGGUUCUCUGGGACGGUACUGACGCUGAGACGCGAAAGCGUGGGGAGCAAACAGG